AAAGAAUGCACAUGAAAUUUACUCUCCUCACAUCCAUCGGUAACUAUCUAUCUCUCUUGCAUCCCCAAAUUCAAAACUAGGGUAGGGACCCUAAAUUGAAAUCAGCGGCGCCUCCUACCCCUCUCAUCGGCGAAAUCGCCGGUCGUCUUUUCUACUCAGCGUCGGCGUCUAAGGCUGCCGGUUAUCACACCGGCGUCGCCAUCUACCUUUCUCCUUCUAUUUUGUUCUCCUCAAGGUCAGCCGCUGCGCCUACGGUUCUAUUCGCCGGCUAGCAGCUCUCUCUCCGGCUCGUCGGCGAUCUCUCCGUAAGGCGGUGCUGCUGCAGUAGCGCUACUAUCGCUCUCCGUCGACAUCUAACUCCAUAUUUCUCUCUCUCAGCUGCAUUCGUCAACAAUUGUUUUGUUGUUUCCUAAGUUUCACUCCUUGAUCUGUUAUGAUGUGGGGUUUUAAAGCAUGCUCCUAUGUUCUUGAGCUAUAUAUGUGAUGCAAAAGGGUGUUGCUGGGAUUACAUUUUUGGUAGCAAUAAUCAUUGACAUGGAUGUGGUGACAGAAGAAUAAUCAUUGACAUGGAUGUUAUUGGGGAAAGAUUGUGUAUUGCAGUUAUACUAAUAAGUAUAUGUGAUAUGCAACUAAAUGCUGAGAAAGGAGAUGAUUUUCACCUGAUCAGUUGUGUUUCUCUUGCUGCAUACUCUAGCUACUGCUACUUUGAUUAUGAUUUUUAGAUUUUGCAAUUGGUGUGAGAAAGAGUUGGGACUGGAUGGAGGCACAUAUAUAUAGGCUGAAAAUCUGCUUGUUGUUGGGAUUUUGGCAGAGGGAUUGCAGCUUGUUGGGAUUGGGUCUGCCUUAAUCUCUGCCAAAGAGGGAUCCUGUCCCUUUGGUCUUUGUUGGCUGUUUCCGGUAUGGCCAAGGAAGUCCGCCCCUUCUUGGCUUCUUGCUAGCUGUUGUGACAGCCUUUGUAGUGUGUACUCGUGGCUUUAUUGGAGCUGAUUUGAUAAAUGGAGCACUACGAUAGUGAUUCCCCGCCACGAGCGAGUCACAAACGACGACUUUUCCCGUUAAAGUUGGAGGAAAUGCCGGCGGAAGUGCACCGAUGUCCGGGAUGAUGCCCGGAAUGGCGCCGAUGAUGCCCCAACCCCAAAUGGCGGGACUGGCUGCGGGGACGACGAGGAGUGAGACGGGGGCCGCAUUUGUCGAAGCUUGAGGUUUGCAGGCUGUUGGAAAAGCAUGGCUGUCUCAUUUCUACUAAUACGGUGGCUGCACAGGUCUUGGUAUUAAAUGGCUUUGUUUGCUCACUGCAGGAAGUGGGAAAGAGAUAGGUGGGCUUCAAGUGGCUGAUCUUCAACUAUUGGGCCGAGCAUAAAAGAAUUUGGGCUCAAGAGAAAAAAAAGACAUAGCCCAACACUUGUAUUUUAUAUCAUUAUGGACUUGAUUGCUUAUUUGGAUUUGAUUUCUUUUGUAUUAAAUGAAAAUCGAAAAUUCUCUUGA